CGGCGGACGGGUGAGUAACGCGUGGGCAACCUGCCUCACACAGGGGGAUAACAGUUAGAAAUGACUGCUAAUACCGCAUAAGACCACGAAACCGCAUGGUUUUGAGGUAAAAACUCCGGUGGUGUGAGAUGGGCCCGCGUCUGAUUAGGUAGUUGGUGCGGUAACGGCGCACCAAGCCGACGAUCAGUAGCCGACCUGAGAGGGUGACCGGCCACAUUGGGACUGAGACACGGCCCAAACUCCUACGGGAGGCAGCAUG
rnacentral:rRNA from 1 species